GACCUCUCUCUACUCUUUCUUCCACCUAUACAUUCCCACCCACCACCCACCAAGCUUCAUAAUACGUCGCCGGAAAAUCUGAUAAGAACCAGAGCUCCGCUGCCUGAUAAUUCCUCUUGCCGCCAUUGAAGCAAGAACACCACUUAUUCUACUUUGUUUUUGUUAGCACUUGAUAAAUUCUACCAUGCAAUCUUCAAGCGGUUCGAUGAAGGUCUCGCCGUUCGAUCUCAUGUCGGCGAUUAUCAAAGGGAAAAUGGACCCUUCCAAUGUAUCGUCAGAAUCAGGUGCUGAGGUGGCAACCUUGUUCCUUGAGAACCGGGAGUUUAUUAUGAUUUUAACGACGUCUAUCGCGGUUUUGAUUGGGUGUGUUGUGGUGUUGGUGUGGAGAAGAUCCUGCGGUCAGAAAUCUAAGUCCUCUGCCUUUGAACCUCCUAAGCCGUUGAUUGUUAAGGAGCUAGAGCCUGAGCCGGAUGACGGCCAUAAAAAGGUUACCAUCCUUUUCGGUACUCAGACUGGUACAGCUGAAGGAUUCGCUAAGGCUUUGGCCGAAGAGGGAAAAGCGCGGUAUGAAAAGGCCACAUUUAAAAUUAUUGAUUUGGAUGAUUAUGCGGCUGAUGAUGAUGAGUACGAAGAGAAACUCAAGAAAGAGUCUUUGGUUUUGUUCUUUGUGGCUACAUACGGAGAUGGUGAGCCAACAGAUAAUGCUGCGAGGUUCUAUAAAUGGUUUACAGAGGGUAAUGAGAGAGGGGAAUGGCUUCAGAACCUUAAGUUUGGGGUGUUUGGCCUUGGCAACAAGCAAUAUGAACAUUUUAAUAAGAUUGCUAAAGUGUUGGAUGAGACCCUUGAACAGCAGGGUGCAAAGCGUCUUGUUCCUUUGGGUCUUGGAGAUGAUGAUCAAUGCAUAGAAGAUGACUUCACUGCUUGGAGAGAAUCAGUGUGGCCUGAGUUGGAUCAGCUG
rnacentral:misc_RNA from 1 species